UACAGAGGGUGCAAGCGUUAAUCGGAAUUACUGGGCGUAAAGCGCACGUAGGCGGUUUUUUAAGUCAGAUGUGAAAGCCCCGGGCUCAACCUGGGAAUUGCAUUUGAAACUGGGGAACUAGAGUGUGUGAGAGGGGGGUAGAAUUCCAAGUGUAGCGGUGAAAUGCGUAGAGAUUCGGAGGAAUACCAGUGGCGAAGGCGGCCCCCUGGCACAACACUGACGCUCAGGUGCGAAAGCGUGGGGAGCAAACAGG
rnacentral:rRNA from 1 species